rnacentral:rRNA from 1 species
AAUAAGAUACCCGGUAGUCCACGCCCUAAACGAUGUGCACUAGAUCGUGGAGGCUCUGACGCCAUCAUGAUCGAAGCUAAAGUGUUAAGUGCACCGCCUGGGGAGUACGGUCGCAAGACUAAAACUCAAAGAAAUUGACGGGGGCUCACACAAGCGGUGGAGCAUGUGGCUUAAUUCGAAGCAACGCGAAGAACCUUAUCCAAGGCUUGACAUGCACGGAUUAGCUUCCUGAAAGGGAAGUGACACUCUUGUAGUGGAACGUGCACAGGUGCUGCAUGGCUGUCGUCAGCUCGUGCUGUGAAGUGUCGGGUUAAGUCCCUCAACGAGCGAAACCCCUGUCGUUAGUUGCUACCAGGUAAUGCUGAGGACUCUAACGAGACUGCCGGUGUCAAACCGGAGGAAGGUGGGGAUGACGUCAAGUCCUCAUGGCCUUUAUGCCUUGGGGCUGCACACGUGCUACAAUGGCGCAUACAAAGCGACGCGAGACCGCAAGGUGGAGCAAAUACGC